ensembl:lncRNA
AGAAGCUCCCCUGACAGAUGAGCUGCCUGGGAUUCUCACUAUAGCUGUCUUACAGACACGAGUCAAAAAACUGCUAUGAUGUGUUUAUUUACCACUAGCAAGUGGCUAGCAAGUUAGCAAGGGAGAUUUGAGCUCUGUUCCAAAACCUGCAGCAUCCUAACUUAAAAGGAACCUUGAAAGUGAUUGAUUUGGAACACAAAUAACACUCUGCAUGUGAAGCACAUAGAAGAUUCGACUUGCUAUACAGGCAAUGCAAGGACAACAAUGUGAUACUAUGAGAAGAUGUGGAACACCAUAAGGAAAUGCUGCAAGCAGGAUUAAAACCUGUGCUGCCUACACAAGGACUUUAAGACUGUGUUUGCUGGUGUUGGAUGCCUCGGUCCUCCUUGAGUCUUCAUCUGUUAUGGGCUGGUUAAUGAAAUCUGUGUCCCCCACCCCCAUCAAAAUUUCACAACAUAUGUGAUACUGUAGCCACUCACAGCAUUGGCACAUCCUAAUGUGUUGCUUACAGAAAUAGUGGCAUUAGGCUCAACAAUCUGGUAACAAAACCUCAUUCAAUGCAAAGAUAAUAGCAAUCCACACACAAAGGAAAGGAACUGCAGGACUCCCAUUUGAUUUUAUUAGAAGGCAAAAUGAGAGUCUUGAUCUCAGAGGACAUCCAGUAACGCCUUUGGCAAAUUGACAAGCAUUAUGUGGUUUGAUUUGUUUCUAAUACAGACAGCUGACCAGUAUCUCUCAGAUACUCAUGUGCUCAUGAUAUUGAAAGACAGAGG